ensembl:lncRNA
CCAGGCGAGUCCACUGGAGAGCAAGCCAGCAGGCUCAGCAGACACCAGGCCUCCCUGCUGACCAGGUGCUGACCGCAGACGUCUGCACCAGCCCGGCCGGCCCUUCUGGACCUAAAGAACCACUCGGCCGGACCUCCCUGGUGGCCAGUGGAGAAGAACCUGCCUGCCCAUGCAGCUGGGCAACAUGGGUUUGAUCCCUGGUCCGGGAAGACCCCACGUGCCGUGGAGCAACCUUGCGCCUACAGCCAGCCCAUGCUCUGCAAGAAGAGCAGCCACUGCAAUGAAAAGUGGCCCCCGACCCCCGCAGCUGGAGAAAGCCCACACGCAGCGACAAAGCCGUGCUCUCGACUCAGCACAGCCAAGGGAAAAAGAACCGCUCAGUCAACACACAGACUCCCGAGCUCGAAGAAUACACACGUGGGGGGCUGUGAUAGUUUGUGGGCCAGUAUUCUUGAGGCAAGAGAAAACUCACUUAACAGGUGAAAUGUGCUGCGUCCAUUGUAUAUUUCAGGUAGCUCUCUGUACGUACGUGAAAGACUAAGCUUCUAUACCCUCUUGGGUGUGCAUGCAUACAGAUUUACAUUCGUGGGCAGCUUUACUCAGAGCAGUGGCUUGCUGUAUAAAUGUGUAACUUCUCUGUGGCCAGUCAGCCAGUUUUCUGUUUUACUUGAAGAGAGAUGGAAAAACUCCUGGUCGGGGAAAUUGAAGGGCAUAGGCCCCCUGCUCAGAGGCAGAGCAAGGUUAUGGAAAGAGAAGUGGGUUUUCCUUCAGAAAACACUGGGACACCUGAGAGGGAGAGGUCUCAGACGGUCCGUGCAUAACGCCAUGCAGCAAACGUUAGUCUGCGUGAGAACAUCCCCACUGCUCAGGAGCUUGGAUUCCAGUCUGCGUGUGCGUGCUCGGUCCUGUCCAACUCUUUGCGACCCCAUGGACUGCAGCCCGCCAGGCUCCUCUGGCCAUGGGAUUCUUCAGGUGGAUUCUUUACCGUCUGACCCACCAGGGAAGGUGUCUAGAAAUCACAGAGACAUACCGGCAGCGCUGGAAUGGCCAGAGGGGCUCCAGAAGGAGGUUACGGGGGCUCUGUUCUCCGGCUGUUCCUGCUCCCCACGCCGGGCCCCUGCACACACUUCUCUCAGCCCAGGAUGUCAUUCCCUUUUCUUAUCACAUUUCUUUUUAGCUCCUGGAGGAUAUAAUACAUCUACAUGGUUUGAAAAAUAAAACAAUGAAGAAUGUUUGGGAAGACUGGGUCUCAUUCUCGCCUAGUCCUCUGCCUUCCUGCCCCCCACCUCCUACUGGAGGGGU